ACGGAGAGGGCUAGCGUUGUUCGGAAUUACUGGGCGUAAAGCGCACGUAGGCGGCUUUGCAAGUCAGAGGUGAAAGCCCAGGGCUCAACCCUGGAAGUGCACUCGAAACUGGACGGCUUGAAUAUGGAAGAGGGUCGCGGAAUUCCCGGUGUAGAGGUGAAAUUCGUAGAUAUCGGGAGGAACACCAGUGGCGAAGGCGGCGACCUGGGCCAAUAUUGACGCUGAGGUGCGAAAGCGUGGGGAGCAAACAGGA
rnacentral:rRNA from 1 species